UACGUAGGGUCCGAGCGUUGUCCGGAAUUAUUGGGCGUAAAGAGCUCGUAGGCGGUUUGUCGCGUCUGCUGUGAAAUCCCGAGGCUCAACCUCGGGCCUGCAGUGGGUACGGGCAGACUGGAGUGCGGUAGGGGAGAAUGGAAUUCCUGGUGUAGCGGUGGAAUGCGCAGAUAUCAGGAAGAACACCGAUGGCGAAGGCAGUUCUCUGGGCCGUAACUGACGCUGAGGAGCGAAAGCGUGGGGAGCGAACAGG
rnacentral:rRNA from 1 species